UUCCAUCUUCGGGGCAGGGUGUAAUUCCCGACCGACGGUAUUAGGUGCAUAGAUACCUAGAGUCCGUGACCCGCAGGUUCUUCCUGCGGCUGAUCUGGUGAGAGUCCAGAACCGACAGUUAAAGUCUGGAUGGGAGAAGAUGUCG
rnacentral:ncRNA from 2 species